rnacentral:rRNA from 1 species
GCAGCCCGCGGGUAAUUUCCAGCUUUCAAUAGCGUAUAUUAAAGUUGUUGCGGUUAAAAAAGCUCGUAGUUGGUUCUGCGUGCCACGCUGUCGGUUCGCCGCCUGCCGGUGUAACUGGCAUGCCGUGGCAUGUCCUGUCGGUGGCGUUCGGGAGCCUCGUUAGGUGCCGGCCCUUGCCCUAAAGCUUGGUGCUCGGAGGCCGGGGGUAUACCCGUUCGCCUAUCUAUCCUACCUAGGUGCUCUUCACCGAGUGUCGAGGUAGGCCGACACGUUUACUUUGAACAAAUUAGAGUGCUCAAAGCAGGCUGAAAUCUCUGCCUGAAUAGUGGUGCAUGGAAUAAUAAAACAGGACCUUGGUUCUAUUUUGUUGGUUCUUAGGAACACAAGGUAAUGAUCAAUACGGACAGGCGGGGGCAUUCGUAUUGCGACGUUAGAGGUGAAAUUCUUGGAUCGUCGCAAGACGCACAAGAGCGAAAGCAUUUGCCAAGUAUGUCUUGAUUGAUCAAGAACGAAAGUUAGAGGUUCGAAGGCGAUCAGAUACCGCCCUAGUUCUAACCAUAAACGAUGCCAGCCAGCGAUCCGCCGAUGUUCCUCCGAUGACUCGGCGGGGAGCUUCUUCCCGGGAAACCAAAGCUUUUGGGUUCCGGGGGAAGUAUGGUUGCAAAGCUGAAACUUAAAGGAAUUGACGGAAGGGCACCACCAGGAGUGGAGCCUGCGGCUUAAUUUGACUCAACACGGGAAACCUCACCAGGCCAGGACAUUGGAAGGAUUGACAGAUUGAUAGCUCUUUCUUGAU